GACGAACGCUGGCGGCGUGCUUAACACAUGCAAGUCGAGCGGAAAGGCCCUUUCGGGGGUACUCGAGCGGCGAACGGGUGAGUAACACGUGAGUAAUCUGCCCUUCACUUGGGGAUAGCUACCGGAAACGGUGGCUAAUACCCGAUAUGACCAAUCACUGCAUGGUGUGUUGGUGGAAAGUUUUUUCGGUGGAGGAUGUGCUCGCGGCCUAUCAGCUUGUUGGUGGGGUAAUGGCCUACCAAGGCUUCGACGGGUAGCCGGCCUGAGAGGGUGACCGGCCACCCUGGGACUGAGACACGGCCCAGACUCCUACGGGAGGCAGCAGUGGGGAAUAUUGGACAAUGGGCGAAAGCCUGAUCCAGCAACGCCGCGUGAGGGAUGACGGCCUUCGGGUUGUAAACCUCUUUCAGCGGGGACGAAGCGCCGGUAAUGGUGGUGACGGUACCCGCAGAAGAAGCACCGGCCAACUACGUGCCAGCCGCCGCGGUAA
rnacentral:rRNA from 1 species